GACGAACGCUGGCGGCGUGCUUAACACAUGCAAGUCGAACGGAAAGGCUCCAGCUUGCUGGAGUACUCGAGUGGCGAACGGGUGAGUAACACGUGGGUAAUCUGCCCUGCACUCUGGGAUAAGCCUGGGAAACUGGGUCUAAUACUGGAUAUGACCUUUCUCCUUAUGGGGUUUGGUGGAAAGUUUUUCGGUGUAGGAUGAGCCCGCGGCCUAUCAGCUUGUUGGUGGGGUGAUGGCUUACCAAGGCGACGACGGGUAGCCGGCCUGAGAGGGUGAUCGGCCACAUUGGGACUGAGAUACGGCCCAGACUCCUACGGGAGGCAGCAGUGGGGAAUGUUGCACAAUGGGCGGAAGCCUGAUGCAGCGACGCCGCGUGAGGGAUGACGGCCUUCGGGUUGUAAACCUCUUUCAGCAGGGACGAAGCGUAAGUGACGGUACCUGCAGAAGAAGCACCGGCUAACUAUGUG
rnacentral:rRNA from 1 species